rnacentral:rRNA from 1 species
CAGUCGCCACGGGAAUACAGAGGGUGCAAGCGUUAAUCGGAAUUACUAAGCGUAAAGCGCACGUAGGCGGACUUUUAAGUCAGGGGUGAAAUCCCGGGGCUAAACCCCGGAACUGCCUUUGAUACUGGAAGUCUUGAGUAUGGUAGAGGUGAGUGGAAUUCCGAGUGUAGAGGUGAAAUUCGUAGAUAUUCGGAGGAACACCAGUGGCGAAGGCGGCUCACUGGACCAUUACUGACGCUGAGGUGCGAAAGCGUGGGGAGCAAACAGGAUUAGAUACCCGCGUAGUCCCUGUCUCUUAUAC